AUUGAACGCUGGCGGAAUGCUUUACACAUGCAAGUCGAACGGCAGCACGGACUUCGGUCUGGUGGCGAGUGGCGAACGGGUGAGUCAUGUAUCGGAACGUGCCCAGUCGUGGGGGAUAACGUAGUGAAAAUUACGCUAAUACCGCAUACGAUCUAUGGAUGAAAGCGGGGGAUCGCAAGACCUCGAGCGAUUGGAGCGGCCGAUAUCAGAUUAGGUAGUUGGUGGGGUAAAGGCCCACCAAGCCAACGAUCUGUAGCUGGUCUGAGAGGACGCCCAGCCACACUGGAACUGAGACACGGUCCAGGCUCCUGCGGGAGGCAGUAGUGGGGAAUUUUGGACAAUGGGCGAAGGCCUGAUCCAGCCAGUCCGCGUGCAGGAUGAAGACCCUCGGGUUGUAAACUGCUUUUGUACAGGACGAAAAGGUCUCUCUUAAUACGGGGGGCUCAUAACGGUACCGUAAGAAUAAGCACCGGCUAACUACGUGCCAGCCGCCGCAGUAA
rnacentral:rRNA from 1 species